AUCGUCUAAAAAAAAUCCCUCACCAUAAACCCAAGGGGACUUGUCAGCUCCACGGCAGAAAUUGGAGAGACCACUCAAGCAAGAAGAGGAUUAGACUGUCUCCUAUCAAAGCAUACAUGGACUGGAUUUUUCCAGCAACUUUAACAGAAAGGGUUUUUUUUUUUUUUCUUUUCCAAUUGUGGAAAAGAUUGGAAGCAAAAAAAAAUUCAAUACAGGCCCUAAGGGUAAUGUCUUUGCAAUGGGACCAAUGCCUAUGUCCUCCUUCUAGUCUGUCAGCUUUCACAAUUAUAAAACUGGUCCCAAGUCAAUGUGAAGGAUUUAAAUCUGUAAAGACCAAUGCAGCACGUUGUUGGAUUUGGAGGUGAGCUGGCCUGGCUGGAGAAAGGGAAGGAUGUGGGUGGUGACAAAAUGGCUGCUGUGAAGGACGUCUGGAGGACCACUCAUAGCAAAAUGAGCAGCUGGAAUGGCCAGGCCUCCCACAGAUACUCAAGGCUCGUUGUUUCACUCCACAGAGCGUGUAUUUUGCCUCUGGCUUAGUUUAUGAGACUACCAAGCAGACUGUACUGACAGUGGGGCAUGGGUAAAACACUGACAGCAGCUCCUUGGGGCUGCAUGGCCUGCUACCAUGAGUCCAGCCUCCUAAUCCUCAUCCCAGACACAUCAGCGCUCAGCUAUUUUGAGUCUGCCUCAGGCUUCCAAAAAUACCAGGCGUGCUCUGAGCACACUCAACAUUAGCACAGCCUGUGCCGUGAGAGCGUGGCCCAAGCCUGCUAGCAGAGCAGCUCCAUGCUAAGAGUGUCACACGUGCCUACCAAGCCGCCUGCCCACUGCUGUAGGACAGCACUGCUCUGGGUAUGAGCAGCAGAGAUUUGGCAAAUUUUGAAUGGACUACAGAUGGACGAUUCUUUAUUAAAAAUCCUUUUUCUUUCUUUUUCCUCAUUCCUCACAUCUUCAUCUUUUCAAACUGUGUCUUUCCUGAAGUGUAUGGUUCACUCAAAGAAUCAUGAGGAGUGGAUUAAUUGUAUCACUUCUGUAUGAUUCCCAGCACUGUUAUAAGGGACCUCAUUGCUUUACGCUUCUCCUUCUGUAAGGUACUUUCACUCCCCAUCUCCUCUCAGCUCCAGCUCUCUUCUUCAUUCCUACAGCUUUACAGAUUGGGAUGGUGACAGCUUUCAGAGGCUCACUUCCAUUUGGUGCAUCCCUUUCUUCCUGUCAUGGAGUUUCAAUGUCAUAUUUCCUGUCAUGGAGUUUCAAGUUGGAUAUUAGGAAAAGCUUCUCCGAGAGAGAAGAACAACUUCUCCAGUGGUCAAGCACUGGAACAGGCUGCCCAGGGAGGUAAUGGAGUCACUGUCCCUGGAGGUGUUCAAGAAAUGCCUGUAAAAUUGGUACUGAGGGACAUGGCUUAGUGGGCAAUACUGGUGGUAAGUGGACGAUUGGACUUGAUGAUCUUAGAGGUCUUUCCAAUCUCAAUGAUUCUGUGAUUCUAUUAUGCGGCUCUGGUCAUUGUUUUGUAGUAAACCAUGCUAGGGCAGUGUAACUGGGUACAUGUGUCUUCAGAUUUGCUGGUUCAGGGUGUGUUCAGUGCCUGGUCCUUCCUUGUCACACUAUGAUUCAGCCCCACUCCUACCCUCUGCUUUGUGUUUUAACCAGUUUUCCUCUGAAGAGAGAAAAAUACAGUUUUAAUUUGGAGUCUACUUCUAGGCUUUUCACUCUUCUCAAAGUCACUCAUUCUAGGACAGACAAAAUUUUCCUCCUCUGUUUCAGCCUCAGAUUCUGGAACCAUUGAGGUAAAUUGUCUCUAUUUAUCCAGCUUUUAGUUAUAAUGCCCUUGCCACUUCUAGAAUUUUUUUCCUUGCCACUCUAUCAACAGCUGGGGGAAAAGUGUUAUCUCCUUUCUGUGGUAUAGAAUGAAGAGAUAAAAUAGCAAUUCUGACGCCAAAGCUGAAAGCCUUCCUGCCCAGUCUACAAACACCAUCCCUUCAUCCACCCUCUAACUGGUGACAGUGCUCUUCUUAAGCACUGGAGUGAGCAUGUUCUGCUUGAAAAUCUAAUCCUAAGUGACUUGCCCAAGUUAAAAUAGGUAAUUUAUUCUGAAGUUAAGAUUUUAAUAUAGUUUAAAUUUGCAUCACAACUUCUAAAUAAAAUUGCUUCAGUAGAGGACUACUAUAUUAUCAAAUCGUACUCAAGGAUGCUGCUGAUGUACAUGUGGCUGUAUCAAGGCUAGCUGUAGUAAACCAUUCACUGCUCAAUAUCAUUUAAAGUGGGUUCCAUAUCUUUAUGACUUUAUACACUUAGCUUCGAACUUUUUAUUAUGAUACAGAUAAGCUUUCAAAAUAAACAUGUGAGUAUCAAUUUAUAUUGUAAGGAAAGUGACCAUCAUCCCUACCUUGCCUAGUUUUCCUGUUUUAAAAUUUCUUGACUGGGAUUUUGCAGAUCUGUAAAGCAUUACUUGAAUUAUUUCAGGAGAAUAAUUCUGAAGCCUGGGAAAUAUUUUACUGGUAUCCUUCUCACCCCCAGAAAUUCCAUUAGUAUUUUAAAAACUAAAAAUAAAUCUAGAAAUUUGCCAGUUCCCAACUGUGAUUUACACUUUACAUCUUUUGGAGCAUUGCCAGAAGCUCUCAUCAGUCCAUUAGUGAUGUAUAGAUGGCUAUUUCAAAAUAACGUAUGGCUGGGGAAGAGACAAAUAUGUACAUGAAAAUAACGGCUGAUGAUUUAGCUAUCAAAAUGCUCUUUGACCUUGACCCUGCACUAUAUUAUUAAUUUAAGUCCUAUGUUGUCUCUUGUAAUAGGUGUUAUGUAUGGCCUUUAUUACUAACAACUGCACACAGAUUUCACAAAUGGAGAAUAAAAUCCCAGCACCCCCAAAACCCAAUCUAUCCGCUGGGUUUCUUACUCUUUGCACAGUUUCAGCACCCUCCUACUAACAGAGCACAGGAACAGAACUAAUACUAGAAAAUAAUAAACUUGCUUUUAGUACAGAAUAAUUUUAUUUGAAAUCACUAGCCUAAUCCCAAUUGAAUUUAUUUGAUGAAGCAUAAGCCCUUGGUGUAGCACAGAUACCAUUUUUUUUGGCGUGAAAGAAUAGAUUCUUGCUUAAAAAGAUUUAUAUGAUAUUAAUGACAUAGCUGCAUUUAGAUUGCAUGAAUCAGUAUGUGUCAUAAACUGCUUGAACACUCGUUAAACCUGAUAAAUUAAAUAACCCUCCUGGGCUGGAGAGAGAUGUCGCUGUUAGAUUUUAUGAUAUAUCAUACAUCACAUCUGUUUGUUAUUGUUCUACCCAUGUUAUUUUAUGUGUAAAAGGGAUAAAGCCAGCAGGAGCAAAUCCCACUUAUUUUGGAGGAAACAGCUGCUCUACAAAUAGGAGACGGUGCAAAAAAAUCUGGAAAUCUGCUGGAGGUCUCCCUGAUAGCCUCAGGAAACACUGCAAGACUUCUCUACAUGGAGAGAGAGCUUGGAGAAUGUUAUUAUGUUAUUAUUAGUUAUUAAACUUCUGUUUUUUUAACUUCAGUAGAGCAACUUGCAUUCCAAUUUCAAUUGUUGGACUGUGGAAGUGCAGCCACAGGGGCUUGCUGAUCCUUUGCUUGGGUUUCUUAGGCUGGAGCCUGGUCUCCAGUGAUACUGAUUUGUGUCUCCUCUUCCCAGACAGUACUGGACUGGAGCCCAGAUCCACAUUUCAGCAGUGCUCUAAACCAGUUAAGGCUUGGGUGAAGGUAAAUCCUCUUAGAAUUGAACACCAAAUAUUGUCCUUUUUGUUUUAUCUAAUAAGCUCCUUUUUUUCUUUAUUUUUAUUUUUUUAUUAGCUGGUAGCACAAUUCCCCCAGUUCUCAGGUUUAUGCUUUUGGUCAGUCGUGUAUGCGUUGGCAAGCUCAGGGCAGCUAAUAUCAGCCAGAACCAAUUCCCAAUGCAGUCAAUGGAUUCUGAGCCAGGCCAGCUGCCCUUGGCUGUGAACUGUAAAAUAAACAUUUCUCUUAAACACGGAGUAUCUCGAGCAUGUCAAGAAUGUCUCAAAAGCCAAUCUAGGCUAUGUCACAUCAUCUUCAUAUGCAAAAAGGAAAAAUCCUUUCAGAACUGAAGCAUGGGAAGUAUGUAACACUGAGAUGUGUCAUUGUCUAAACUUCAGGCAGGGUGGGAUGUUAGGGAGGGUUUCCAGGGAACCAGAAAACUUUCACGAACUUAUUGGCUGGCAUCCACGGCAAAUGUCUUCCCGAUAUGGCAGAGAAUUAAGCAGCUCUACAGCAAAAUAAACCACAUCCAUAAAAUAAAGAUUAUAAAACUUUUAUUUUCACAUUUAAUGGUAAAAAAAAUCAAGUGCUUAAAAAUCAGUGAGGCUGGGGAAGAGACUUAUGCUCUGAUUCCUGUCACCCUGGCAGAAAGCUAUACUAAGCAUGAGCUGAAUCCUACCUUUCCUGUUCGGACUAAAACCCUGACAUGUCUUUGUAGGUACGCAGCCAUCACUUUGGAUGGAAUUUUUCGUGCUUCCUCCCAGUGACUCUGUCUUUCUGCAUCCUUCCCUAAUCAUGGAAAGUGAUAACCCUAUUCUGGGUCAUCCAGGCCCUCAAUCUGACUGAGAUGUAGCCAGUAGUCAGCAGUUCUUGACUGCUGACUUCUCUAACAGCCAACACAUCCCAUCAACACACACCACAGCUUUCCUCCAGAUAUCCAUGUUUCUUUCCCGGAUCACUUCAGGUCCUUUUCUUUCAUGCUGCUACUAGCCAAAGACCACCACUGGCUCAUUCUGAAUGGAUCAUCACUCACCCUUCUUUUUGCAGAGCCACCACUGACCACUUCUCAAUUACACUGAACACAGCCUCUCAGGGCCCACCUUGGCUGUUUCCUUAACUUUCACAUCAGCUUUGGCUGUCUCUCGAGGUGGUUACUCCGUGCCAGAGUGCCACCUGUUAAUUUUUUCAACAAAUGCCCAUAAUACAUUCUUCCAUCGGGCCCUCAGGCUUGGGAGAGCCAUCCUGCAAACAGCUGCCGAGCUCCAUCGUUACCCACCUUCCAAGCUCUUAUUUCAAUUCUCCUUUGCAAUAAGACUUAAGAAAAAGCCAGCUUUGAUAUUACACAGACUAUGAAAGUAUAUUAUGCUGAAUAAUAUACAUUUUUUCAUUAUUUCCCGUAUUUCCUGUCUAUUUUUUUUCCUUUAAUUAUAAACUUUGUGGGGUAAGAAAUGUAUUCUCGUGGAUUUGUUACUGAGACUCCAAGACUUGAGAUGGUGUAAAUACAUGAUAGGAUAAAUAAAGGUGGAUCUCCCCUUUCACUCUUCUUUUUCAUUAAAGAGAACAUGCCUAUACUUCUUGUCGAUCGGAUGAACUGAACUCAUCUCAGCCUAAUUCUCUCAGCCGAUACUGACAUUGUUUCUAAGGUAAUAAGGGGUUGUUAGCACUGGGAGACGUGAGAACACCUCAUUUCAUUUUGUGAUAUAAAAUACUUCUUCUCUAACGCUGCAUUUUUUUGAUAAGCCACUGGAGGGACACCUCCGCUACAAAACCAAACCCAGCGCGACCUGCAGGAGAGCUCCCAGCCCCGCUCGCUCCUGCUGCCUCUCAAAUGGAAGACUCCAGCCGGAGGCGGUUAUUUUUCUGGUUAACAAUUAUUUCUGGUUAAAAAUGAAAGCUCUAACUUUACCUCGAGUCAUUAGUUCUGCAGACACAGGAGGAAAAGAAAGAAAGGAAAAAUGCUUUUUGUAUCACUUUGGCCCGGCAUUACAGCUCACAACUUCAUUGAGGGGAUUUCACAAUGUUCCCGCAAAGUCCAAUUUGCAGCUGCAGUAUUUUCCUUUUCUGUAUCAGGACUACUUCUGUUAUUACAAGCCACCUCUUGCUAAAUCACAAGUUCUUCCAGACUACAUCAACUAAUAUUUACAGCCCAUCCUCUACUUCCUGUGAAAAGAAAAAUCACUCAGAAAAAGUGUCAAUCUGGGGAAGAGAUGCCAAAUGUGUCUGAAACAUAUCGCGGUGCAGAUAGGAUUCUAUUUUUGUCUGGAACAGAAGGAGGAAGCAUUUAUGUUCCUCGGGAUCUAAAUUUAUCUUCCAAGGAAUAUUUAUUAAAGUCACCAUAGAAACAGUAAUUUAGAACUCUUAUACUUAUUCCAGUUUUUCGCAAUUACUAUUUGCUCUACAGCUUGAUCUGUUACAUAGAAAAUAAUGAACAGCGCAAGAUCUGUCACAAUCUUAUUCUAUAGAUUUUUGCUCCUUGAUGGAAAAGCAUAUCUUGUGGCACAUGAUACUGAACUGCUGUGGACCGUUUUCAUGCCGUGACAUUUAGAACCAGUGCCUCCCAGUUAGCUCAGCAAUGGGACACAGCCCGAGGCAUUCCCUCUGUGUUAUGAGGGGAUUGCACACGCUGCCUUCCUGCCGAAUAUCCUCAUGCUGACCGCUUCUGUGUCAGUGUGUCUGAGAUGAGAACUACUCUGGGCACUGAGCUCUCCGUAAGCAAGCAUCCUACAAGUGCUAUGCUCAGAAAUAACUGCUUGCAUGUGCUGAAAAACAAUUUUUGCCAUUAAAAUUGUUCCGUGAAGAAUGGCUUUAUACCCACCCAUGUGGCACAGCACUUCACACUAUUUAGUAUGGUGGCUAUUUCAGGUUAACAGUAAGAGCUGCAUAGUUUAUGAUACAGCUGAUGUGAACUUCCUAUCAUGGAAGAUUCACCUUUCUUCUCUGAUGUAUUUUCUAAAUGCAACAAUGUAAUCCUGUAUGCACGGGUUAUAUUUAUCACAGCUGGCUUAGGCAGAGACAGAAUUAAUUAGGAAGUGUCGCAAAUGUCAGAUCAUUAAAUGAAAUUCUAAAAAGGUAAAUUGUAGUCUUCGGUGAGCAGAUAUGGCACAGAAUGAAUACAGAUCCCUGGAACAAAUUGCAGUUGCUGUGAAAUAUUCAUUUCUUCUUUCCAGUUGCUUCCAGGGACAACGUACAUGGCUCUACCUAAACACCAAAACUUCCUAAUUUGAUGCGAAGGUCGGCAUAGAGGUCAUGAUGAAGAAUUUCCUUUAGUCUCUGAGGAACGACUAAACAUUGAACAAAUAUUUAAUUUGCAUUUUACAUUACUAUUGAAUAGACUUCAAAAAAUCCCCCUGGAGUUUAUAUCAGUUCUUCCUUUCUUUGUUGAAAAAUUGCAGGAGUAAAGGGAAAAAAAAAAACAGGUAUACAUAACAAACAGCUCACAUUUUAGUAAAGCCUUCCUUUCACUAUGUUCAUAUCAAGAAAAGUAGUUGCAAUAGUGAAAGAAAGGAAAAGGCAGAGUAUUUUUUAUGCAUUCUAAUUGAACUUGUACCCUGAAAUCAAUAUUCAAAUUCAGUUGUAGAACUGGAUUUUAGUGGAAGAAAUGUGUAAUAAACGUACUUUCCAAGCCCUGAUGGUGAGGGCUGCUAUCUUAAUACACUGUUUGAUUUCAGGGCCUGGCAGAAGAAUUCCACGUCAAGAUGCAGUUACUUGCAUUACAAAAGCUACGGCAUCAAGACACCACGUUACGGCAAUGGAUGGUUUGAAGGGGGCCCCAUCCAUUUGCUGGGGUAUUUUGCUGACCUUUUUGUGAAUAUACGAGCCCUUGCUGCUUGCUGACAGGAUGAAGAGCAGCUUGAAUACAUGUGCAAACACAGGUGAGUAAACAGCCUUUCCCCCUGCAAGAACUGCAACGAGGAGAAAAACGGUACUAAGAACAAGUGCCCUCCUUACACCCAUUCCUUGUGGUUUAUGUGGGACACAGGAGGUCCACAGGCAAAGGACAGCACACAGCAGAGCCAGAGUGCGGACCGUAGGCUUGCUCUGCUGACAGCUGACAGGGAGAGCUUGAUGUGUUGCCUUUCUUUGUCUCUUGUAGAUUUAAAGCAGGAUAGUUUGGAAAUGUGGGUUUCAGUGUUACACCUGUGACUCACCUUUUGCUGUCAGCACAUAGUGAGUCUGGCAGCUAUGCUAUGAGAUGAAUGCAUUCCUAACCUGCUGUAAUGGAGAAAGUGGUCCCACCUGGAUCCUGGCAGCCCCACACGCCUGUCAGGCCCAUAGCACAUGCUAUAAAAAUGUCUGUGUGCUUGAAGGAAUCCAGAGGGGACUGACCAUCAGCGCCCAAUCUUCUGCCAAUCUUGCUGAAUUACUUUCACUCAAUCUUCCUUUGUGUUCUUACCUCCUGAUAUCACACUUAUCCCUUCAUGCACGUUCCUCCUAUUGAAAGCGUGAGGCUGAGUCAUCUGCUAAGAGAGUUCAGUGAAUGUUACAUGAGCAUAUUCUUGGAAUUUUUUCUUUGUGAACUGUUAAAAUUGCUUCUCGUGGAUGUGAAUGCCUUUUAUGGCUGCCUCCUCUCCUCUGUCUUCCUUUUUGAUGUGAGGACAUUUGAGAAGAGUGGGUCAUGGUGCUUGGGGCAUGGGAUGUAUGAAGCUUAACACAUGAAUCACAGACAGUCUCAUUCACAUAGAAGAAGUAGUUGGGGAUUUUGUUUUCUCUUAAAUGGAUCUUUCUGUGAACAGACUGAUGCUGGGCAUCUUUUUAAAAGGAAGAUUUCUUUUCUGAGACAGCAGCAAUUAUAAAUAAGGUCUGACUGCUUUUUAUUUCAUAUUAUACGAUGAUUAGCCUGAAAUAAGUAUCAAUUAUAUUAGUAUAAGGACAUUUUUCCCCACUGUUUUUAGCCUCGCAUGUUGCACUGAUUAAGGGGAAUUGAUCUUUACUGCCAUAGGAAAAGGGGAAAACAAACAUGAACUUGGUGAUUGUACAAGAUGUGCUCGAGGGCCAUAAUUCGAGCAAAGAGAAAUGCUUUGUGGAUUAGUCAGACGAUGCAGAUGAGUCUAUCAAAUGUACAACGUGUCAUAUACAGAUUUCUGUUUAGUGGACCUUUCUGUCCCAGGCUCCACAUUUAUCAUUGUCUCCCUGACAGGAGCUCUGCCCUGUUAUCCUGACUUGUAUGUCAUUUAUCAGUGUUAAGUACAACAAAAGAGUAUCUCUUUAAACCCCCUUUACCCUUUCACAUGCUUCUACCCUUGAAUAAUGAUAUCUGUCUCCGCAGCCACAAAUAUUCCAUUUCAUCCUUUCCUUUGUAUUAUGUUAGUUGCUCAAUAAAUGAUUAAAAUGGCAUUAGUGCACUUUAAAAUGAAAAUUAUUAUAUUAUUGUUGAAGUCAUGUGUAAGAGAAGAGAUAAAAGCAUUUGGGUGCUUUUGCCCCCUUUUUCUGCCCUAUCAAGUCAAAAGCAUUUUAUAUGAAAAGAACACAUCCAUAAACUAGAAACGCUGCAUUGCCAACUCAGCCCAAAUCACACAGACCCAAACCCAAACCUAAACUUUCUGACGUGGGUAUAAAUCAUUAUCUCCAAAGCAAAAAGAGCGAAAUAAGCACUGAAAUUAAAGUAGCAUCAGUGGUCUUUGAACCCACUUUCACAUGUGAUUCUUCCACUUAUUUUAUUUGAGAACCAAAGGGAAGGUGUGGGAAAUGGGUCACAGGAAACAAAGUGCUGGAAAAGAUGCUUCCAAGCAGCAUUUCACAUCUAUGUGUUACCAUAAUUAAUACCAAUGGAGGGUCUUUAUGGAAAGUAACAUGUUAGAAAUCAUAAGCAUUGCACAAUUCAUAUCUAGCUGCUGUCUUGCAUGACAUUUUAUAGAGAUGUGCAAGCAACUCUGUAUAGCAGGUACGGUUCAGGCUUAGGUUGUUAACUACAGCUUGGAAUUUCAAUUUAUAAUCAAUAAAAAUCCCAAACCAA